rnacentral:rRNA from 1 species
CGGGUGAGUAACACGUGGAUAACCUACCUAUAAGACUGGGAUAACUUCGGGAAACCGGAGCUAAUACCGGAUAAUAUAUUGAACCGCAUGGUUCAAUAGUGAAAGACGGUUUUGCUGUCACUUAUAGAUGGAUCCGCGCCGCAUCAGCUAGUUGGUAAGGUAACGGCUUACCAAGGCAACGAUGCGUAGCCGACCUGAGAGGGUGAUCGGCCACACUGGAACUGAGACACGGUCCAGACUCCUACGGGAGGCAGCAGCC